rnacentral:rRNA from 1 species
UACGUAGGGGGCUAGCGUUGUCCGGAAUCAUUGGGCGUAAAGAGCGUGUAGGCGGCCCGGUAAGUCCGCUGUAAAAGUCAAAGGCUCAACCUUUGAAUGUCAGUGGAUACUGCCGGGCUAGAGUCCGGAAGAGGCGAGUGGAAUUCCUGGUGUAGCGGUGAAAUGCGUAGAGAUCAGGAGGAACACCUGUGGUGUAGACAGCUUACUGGACGGUGACUGACGCUGAGGUGCGAAAGCGUGGGGAGCAAACGGG